rnacentral:rRNA from 1 species
AUUCUGGCUCAGGAUGAACGCUAGCGGCAGGCUUAACACAUGCAAGUCGAGGGCAGCAUGACACGGAGAUUCGUCGAAGUGUUGAUGGCGACCGGCGCAAGGGUGCGUAACGCGUGAGCAACUUGCCCGUUUCUGGGGAAUAACCGGUGGAAACGCCGACUAAUACCCCCAUAGCAUCAACUUAGGGCAUCCUUAGUUGAUUAAAGAACUUCGGAAACGGAUAGGCUCGCGUGACAUUAGCUAGAUGGCGGGGUAACGGCCCACCAUGGCGACGAUGUCUAGGGGUUCUGAGAGGAAGGUCCCCCACACUGGAACUGAGACACGGUCCAGACUCCUACGGGAGGCAGCAGUGAGGAAUAUUGGUCAAUGGCCGGGAGGCUGAACCAGCCAUGCCGCGUGAAGGUCACGGCCCUAUGGGUCUUAAACUUCUUUUGUAAGGGAGCAAUAAGGUUCACGUGUGGACUGAUGAGAGUACCUUACGAAUAAGCAUCGGCUAACUCCGUG